rnacentral:sRNA from 1 species
CGAUGAAGGGAGCAUUCACUGACUGUCUGAAUAUACGCACUGUCAUGGAGUUGCUCUCUUUAUUGAA